rnacentral:misc_RNA from 1 species
UUAAGUUCAGCGGGUAUCCCUACCUGAUCCGAGGUCAAAAACUAAGAAUGGGGGGGUUGCGGCAGAAGCGCUCACGUUUCCAUCACGAGAAUAAAUUACUACGCUUUGGUUGCGUGGCUCUUCGCCAUUGAAUUUCGCAGAGGAAGCUGACGCCUCCAACGCAAGACCAACCAAUGAUAAAUCAGAGAUUGAGGUUUUUG